AUACUCCUAUCAGUCUAUACAGCAUAUAAAACCUAUAAUAGAUCUUUCGGUUAGUCAUAACAUAUAGUUAAGUAUUAGACAUUAGUUUUAAGUCUUAAUAUUAUUAUUAUACUUUGAUAUUCUUUUAAUCACAUCAUAACUUAUACUUAUAAGUUAUUCAUUUUUAUAUGUUAUCCUAGUAAAUUAGAUAACAUCUUAGUAAACCGAAAUACCAUUUCAGUAAGACGGAUUUUAUUUCAGUAUCCCGAAAUCACUAUUCUUUUUCACGAAAAAUACCAAAUCAACUUAUUAUUUUUUUAUCCUUUGGUCAAACAUAUAUACAUGUAUUUCAUACAUAAAAAAUAUUUUUCCAUAAUUUUUCAAUUUCUUUUACUAUUUUUCAAAAAUCAUAAAUAGUGCGUGACUUAAGAAAAUUAGCUACCUCGUGCUUAACUCCAGAGAUGCCCAUCUUUUGACAUAACCUUAUAUAUGUUAACGUGAUGCUCCAUUUUAAAUUUCGUGGCAAUCGGAGUUGUAGAACUCUGGUUAUAGCGAUUUCCGUCGGAAAAUCACAAAAAUUAGAAUAGUCAUAACUUGGCCGUUUUAACUCGGAAUUAGCUCAUUUUUGGACACGAGCUACAUAAUACCACAUAUUUUCAUUUCCCGAAAGCCCGGAAUUUUUCUCACAAAAUAAAUUACCGAAACAGCCUCCGGAAAAUUUUUGGCAGUUUACUUUUGCACAUAUGCAGUUUUGGAGUCCUUUACCAAAACUUAAAUAAAAUGAAAUCUAUAACUCCGAUUAAUGAUCCGUCAAUUUUGUUGGAUUCCUAUCUUUCCGAACUACAGUUUUCAUCUAUCACAAUCCAUAUUUGGACAUGUUAAGCUCCCAGAAAUUAGCCCGGAAGUGGCUGUUCAAAACUGUCCUUCUAACAGUUUUCUUAACUUUGAGUAGUUUGGGAGAAAUUUCAUAACUCUCUCCUCCGAUGUCGGAUUUAGUCCGUUUCGGAGUCUAUGGAAAGCUUAUUGAGUGUACUACAACAUAUCAAAAGUCCAGAAUUUUUAGACCAUCCAAACAAAUUCGGAAUUUACUGUUUAGGGGCAGCAGUUACCAAUUCAUUUUAAAAAAAACUGUUUUGCUUUUCUUUCUCUUGAUCAAGCUUGUCGACCCUAAAAAUGGCAUGAUCUAACCAUAAAACAUCAUAUAUCAUGUAGAUCUAUAGUUCUCAUGUUCAGGAUCAUAAACUUCAUGGUUCAAAAUAACCAAAAAUCAAAUACAAGAUUAAACACAUUCAAGAGUAAGAAAAAUAAGAUUUCCUACACCUUAAAAACCUAGCUUCACUUUUCUUGCUUUUGAUCUAUCUUUUGAAACAUAAAAUAGAUAGAUCCACACAUAAAACACUCUAAAUCAUGUAGAUCUAGAGUUUUGAAGAUCAAAACUCAUUAUUUUGACAAAAAUCAAACACAUAAACUAAUUAGAGUUUUGUGUUUAAGAAUUCUUAUACCUUGCUUUGAUUUUCUUUCUUCUUCAAAGAUAUGAGAUGGAUCUUGGGGUGUUGUUCUUGGCUUGCUACAUGAUAAUCCUA
rnacentral:lncRNA from 1 species